UAAUAUUAAUCAGAAUUGUGUUACUUGUUCGUUAAAUAAAAUGAAAAAAUUCCCUUUUAAAAAUAAGGAGACUUUAAAUGUUAUUCAUAUGGAUGUUUGGGGACCAACUCCAAUUGCAUCUUCUUAUAGAUAUAAAUACUAUUUACUCAUAAUAGAUAAGUAUUCUAGGUUCUCAUGGUUUUAUCUUUUGAAAUCAAAGGAUGAGGUUUUCAGUGUUUUUAGAGAUUUUCAUGUUAUAAUUGAAAAAUCGUUAGAUUCUUCAAUAAAAACUAUUCAAACUGAUGGUGGAGGAAAAUUUCAGAAUUCUUUUUUUCUGUCUUACUAUAAAGUAUAUGAAAUUUAGCAUAGAUUUUCCUCUCCUUACACACCCGAACAAAAUGGGUUAGUGGAGAGGAAACAUGGUCAUAUUAUUUCUGUUUUUACAUGUUUUUUUAUCAAUCAAAAAUAUCUAAGGUCUAUUGGCCAGAAACUUGUUCUACGGCUGUCUACACUAUUAACAGACUUCCUUCAAAGAAUUUGGGAUUUUCUUCGCCUUAUUCCAUCCUAUACAAUAAAGAGUCAGACAUUAACUAUUUUAAAGUUUUUAGGUCACUGUGUUUUCCUCUUAUACCUAAACAAAUAAGGAAUAAAUUUGAACUCACCUCUUUCUAUUGUUAUUUCUUGGGUUAUUCACCCUCUCAUAAAGCCUAUAAAUGUUUGAGACUUAAGACUCCAAAAUCAUUAUUUCUACGCAUGUUAAAUUUUAUGAGGAAAUUUAUCUUUUUAAAGAUUAUAAAUUAAAAACACCUUCGUUAAAAACAAAUUUCUCCACAACCUUACCACUGUCACAGAUAAUUAGUACUACGUCUGUGGUACUACCAAACUUAUCAAGAAGAAGUUAAUAAUAAUAAACCAGAAACAUCAGAUAACCAAAUAAGAAGUUUAGAUCUAACAACUUCAACAGAUAACUCGAUCUUCAUCACAGAGGAAUGAGACUGAAGAUGUGGUUCCAAUAGUAAGUGGGAACUUUAGUCAAAACUUAAAUACAUCUGAUCAACCCUGUGGUACUACCAAACUUAUCAAGAAGAAGUUAAUAAUAAUAAACCAGAAACAUCAGAUAACCAAAUAAGAAGUUUAGAUCUAACAACUUCAACAGAUAACUCGAUCUUCGUUCAUCACAGAGGAAUGAGACUGAAGAUGUGGUUCCAAUAGUAAGUGGGAACUUUAGUCAAAACUUAAAUACAUCUGAUCAACCCUUAUAGAAAGUUGAUGCGGUUUAAACUUCUAUUGUUCAAACCUUAGAACAAACUAUACCUAUAAACAUAGUUUGCGAGUUUCAUCAACAACACACACAAUUAAAAAGAUCUGAAAGAGAAUCAAAGGUUCCUUCUAAAUAUAGUAUAUAUGAUAUAAAUCUUUCAUACGCAAUGAUUGCUGAGGUAAUAGAGGAUAAUCAGUUAACGUACACCUAAGAAUUUUAAGGAUGCUCUCAAAAUUUCACACUUGCAGGAAGCUAUGAAUGAGGAAUUCAAGGCUCUAAUUGAAAAUAAAACAUGAACUUUAGUUCCUCCUAACCCAAAUAUUAAUCUGAUAGAAACUAAAUGGAUUUUUUAAGUAAAAAGGAAAGUAGAUGGUUCCAUUGAAAGGUAUAAAGCUAGAUUGACAGCGCAAUGUUUCAAACAACAUAAAGAUAUAUAGACUAUGAUCUUAUUUAUAGUCCAGUUGUGAAAUCUUCCACCAUAAGAAUAGUUGUCUCUAACAGUAAAUAGAGGAUAUAAGUUGAGACAACUAGACGUUAAAAAUACCUUUCUUCAAGGAAAACUAAUUGAAAUGGUUCAUAUAAGUCAACCACCAGGAUAUAUAGAUCAAGAAAAAUCAGAUUACAUCUGUAAAUUAGAUAAAGUCAUAUAUGGUCUUAAACAGACGCUUAAAUCUUGGUACUCAAAACUAAAGGAAUUCUUUAUGUUAAAUGAAUUCAUGAAUAGUAGUGCAGACACAUCACUUUUUGUGUAUAACAAAGAUGAGAUAUUAAUCUGGGUUGUAAUAGUAUAUGUAGAUGACUUAAUCAUCACAAGAAACAUAAAUAAAGAAUUAGAACCUUUUCAAGUGCACUGAGUUCAAGUGCAUAGAUUUAGGAGUCUUAAAGUUUUUUCUUGGUAUUGAGGUUCAACAUAAUUUUGAUGAUUCAAUUUAUAACAUGAGUCAAUGUAGAUAUGCUCUGGACAUGUUAAGUAAAAAUAAAUAUGUUACAGUGUAAGCCCAGUAGAACUCCCGUUAGUCCAUAUUCUAAACUAACCAAAAAUGAAGGAGUACUUUUGCAAGAUGUAACAUCUUACAGGGCACUAGUUGGUUCUCUACAAUACUUAGCUCAAACGAAACCAGACUUGGUGUAUGCAAUAAAUCAGGUUGCACAGUUUGUGCAAGAACCUAGGUCUUCUCAUCUUAUUGCAGCCAAGAGAAUUAUGAUACAUCAAGGGAAUUUUGAAUCAUGGUCUGAUAUUCACUAAAAAUUUGAAUUUUAAUAAAAUUCAUGGUUAUUAUGAUGCAGAUUAUACAGGUGAUCCAAACACAAGGAAAUCCACAAUUGGAUUGUGCCUAUACAUAGGUGGAAACCUAUGCACUUGGUCAUCAAAGAAACAAUCUACAAUUUCUAGAUCAAGCGUUGAAUCAGAGUAUAGAGCUCUGGCUUCACUAGCUACUGAGAUUAGAUGAUCUACAUUUAUAUGUAGAGAUUUAGGGUAUUGAUAGAUCAUGUUCUUUUGAUAUUAUGUGACAAUAUUUCAGCCAUGUUUAUGGUAAAUAAUCCGGUGAUCAAACAGAGGUCCAAACAUAUUGAAACUGACAUACAUUUUGUUAGAGAAUUGAUCACUAAGAGCCAACUUCAGUUAAAACAUAUAUGUUCCUCACUUCAGUUGAUUGAUUUGUUUACCAAAGUUGUGACUUCUGACAUUUAUGUAAGAUUAGGUAGAAAUCUCAAGAUUAAUUUUAGUUUAUAGGUGUUAGUCAUCUUUCUUCCCUCUAAAUUUCAAAAGUUCUUCAAUGCACAAUUUCUGCCUAUACUAGUGUAGAACCUGUACAGAGUCAGGUAAUGAACAGAUAGGAUGUGGGAGAUAAAGUUUACUAAAAUUAAAAAUGCAUGUCAUUAUUAAAAUUAACAAUUGGAAUGAGAUAUGGAUGUUUGUUCUUACCUUUUUCUUUCUCGUUUUGUCCUACAAUUCUGCUCUACGUUGAAUGAUGAUUCCUGAUGCUCAAUUAAUAUAAUUUUGCUGAAUGAUAUAUGCAUUACGAUCAAUUUCAGAUAUUAAGAAAAGUUUCGGAAUAUGUGGAUUGAUUCUGUUGAUAAAUAAUAUCGAUUGUUUUUGAUACUGCACUAUGCUUGCUUUUCAGAUUAUGAUUAGCUCAAGCAAAGUACAGAACUUGGCUGGAAAUGAUAAAUGAUAAGUUUUUAUCUCAAUCGAUCCAUUUAUUUAUGAAGAUCAUCGACUUGGAAGAAGAAGAGUUAUCCAUCCAAAUCUCAAUCAAAAGAUCAAAGAUGGAUGAAGAAGAAAUCCUGAAUAAUCAAGAUGGUCUCCUAAAACUUCCAUUCUUCAUCAGCACUAUGUCGUUCAGAUCACCUGCUCAACAAAAAUAUUAUGCUGUGAUCAACAAGCAACGUAUUUUUUCAGAAGAAAGAGUAAGGUUUGAUCUGAUCAACAUCAAAGAAAUGGAGCUUCUUCUAGCACACAAUGGUGUAGUGAGAUUCAUGGAGAACAUUCAUCAAGAGAUCUUCGACUCUGAAGUAAACCAAUAGUAUGCUAACUUAGAGCAAGUACCAAACUCCAUGGCUAUCUCCACGAGAGUCAACCAUAGAGAUCUAAAUAUUAGAAUCCCUAUGUCGUUGGACUGAACUCCUGAUCUCCUUAGUCGUUGGACUAAACUUCCAAAUAUUAGAAUCCUUGUUCAUAAUUUAAGAUCACUGGAUGAUCUUCCAUUCAAGGUUACUACUGAAGAUCUAUGGAUCACCCUGACUAAUAGAUACUCUUCUCUGGUGUCACCCAAGAUCACAACUCAAUCUCUCUCAGCCAUGGCAUAUGUGAUGAUCAAGUUACUCCACAAAAGCAUUUGCUCUAUGGCAGGAAAUUGUGUUAAACCAAGCAUAACUAUGAAGGUUAUUCUAUUUUGUGUGAUUAAGAAGAUUCAAAUCAACUGGACUGAGCUACUCCUUUACAACAUGGAGCAAAGCAAAAUAAAUGGAUCGGUGAGACACUACCCACGACUCAUCAACAAGCUACUUGGUCCAGAGUACUUUGAUGCUCCAAAUGUUCAGCCUCCAGCAAGUGCACCACUUUAUUCAGUCACUGGUGCAUCACUCAGGAAUAAGCAUUUGAAUCAUUUCUCAACCUCAAUGGAAGAUGACACACACAACUCUGAAGCUAUCCAUGAUCAUGUCAGGAAUCUCUGCCAGAGAAGGUCAGAUCCUCACCAUGAAUGAUAUCAGUCUACUAUCAGAUCAAAAUAAUGUAAGAAGAGAUGAGAUUGUAGCACAGACCAAGAGCAUGAUAGAUCAAAUUGGGAGGAAUCAAAGAAGCAUGGUUGAAGUCAUACAAGCCAUCCUACAUAAGUUAGGAAUGGAUUAGAACAAUCGUCCAUGUUGACGUUAAGCUUUUGUUAGAACAUUGAUCUAUGAUCAUGUUCUGAAAAACAAACCCACGAUUUGUUUAAUGGUUAUUUAGUUAAAACAAUGCUUUUACUAUGCUUUGAGAUUACUACUUUGAUAUUAUUGCUACUGUUUGUUUGUUGUUAACUAAAUUAUGGUAAGUGUGUUUUGGUAUGAUUUGAUCUUUACUUACUAUGCUAUGAGUUUCAACUAAAUCAUGCCAUAUGCCCUGAUCAGUGCUAUACUACUCUGUUGGUAUCCAUAUAUGUAAGUUGAAAUGUCAUAACCAUUUACUACUUAUCAUUCCCUGAUUUAACUAAAACAUGUCAUAUGCCUAAGAUUAUCUAUUAAAAUGCCUAGAUCAUUGCUUAUCUACUAGUCUUUGAUUUAUAACUGAAUCAUGCUUUGAUAUGCCUUGAUCAAUACUAAUACAUGCUACUACUCUUCUAUAACUGAAUCAUGUUUUAAUAUGCCUUGAUCAAUACUCAUACAUGCUACUACUCUUUUAUAACUGAAUUAUCUAUAAGAGUUGAAAUUGCUAAGAUCGUUGCUUAUACAGGCUAAGAUCAUUGCUUAUUAGAGACAACUUCACCGGCUGCUGCCAAAGAGUCAGUUAAAGAUGUUACUUUGAUUAUGAAAUCCCUAAUCGAUUCAUUUUCCCUUUUCUUUAAAAUUCUUAGUUCAUCCCGAUUGCUUGCUGAUGUACUGCCUUCCUUGGUGAUAAAUGCAAUUAUAGUUUCUACUCACGUCGUACUGUGGUUCAUUACCAAUGAAAACAUCGGUGGUCCAACUGAAGAUUGAAUCCAUCCCAAUACUGCCAAGUCCUUUUCUAACCAUAUCUCAUGAGCUGAAUUAGGUGAGCCGUCACCUCUCUUUUCAGGAGGAAUUUCUUGUUUGUCAUCUACAAUAUCAGAAACAUGAUUCAACCGGAAUAAAUUCUCCAUUUGACCUCUCCAAAACAGAUAUGUUGAUGCUCCUUCUAGCGGAGUUCUAAUCCAGUAGGAGACUUGACAUUUAUAUAGAGAAUCGAGGAGAGUAGCUUUAUCAUGGUUUGCCAUCGGAAGAUCAGAAAAAAUACUGCAGUGAAAAUAAAAACAAAUUUCACCACUGCAGCUUUCUAAAUGAAUCGCAAAUAAAAUGCGAUAAAGAUUUUUUUUUAUUUACUGAAUAUCACUAUUGAUAUAUCAGUAAUCUUACUAAAAAAUAACAAUUAAACAAACAAACAAUCUAAAAAAAAUAUCAACCUAAACAAACUAAACAAUGAGUUUAAUUGUAGCAACAAAACAAAACAAACUCAAUCUGAAAUUAAACUCAAUCGCAACUAAUCACCUAAUAAGCAAUCAAUAGAAAGAAGAAAAAAUAAAUAACUUGCUGACCUGUAAUAGCACUCACAACCUGUAAUCAAAAUUCAAUAGCAGAGAAGAUGAUUAAAAAAAAAAAAUUCUAACCUGUAAUCGCUAACCUGCAGAACACAACUACAAAGAACCUGUAGUUUUCAAAGAACAACUACCAAAAGAAGAAAAAAACUACAAAGCAACUACGCAAUUCAAUUCCAUACAAUAGACUCAGAAUCAGAUCUGUAGUUUAAAGAAGAAAAGAAAAUAUUCGAAAUCUGAACUCUGUGAUUUAAAGAAGAAGGAAAAAAAAUGUGAUAUCUGAAAAUUGUAAAUCGAAAUUGUAAAUCACAUAAUCGAAAUUUGUAAAGAAGAAGAAAUCACAAAUCACAGUUUGUAGAUUUGUAAAUCGAAUCUAUCGAUUUGUAAGGAAGAGACGAAAUCGAAGGAACAAUCUGUCGAUUGUCAAAAAAUUGAAAAAACAAUAAGUCGAUUGUCGAACAAUCGAAGAAAAGGGGAAAAAAAACAAAUCGAUCAAGAUCAAAAAGAAAUCAAACUAAAAUUUCAGAAUCAAUCAAAAAAGAAAGAAAUCAAACUAUUUCAGAAUCGAUCAAAAUUUCAGAAUCAAUCAGGCAUCCGAUCGGAAAUAAAUUUCAGAAGCAAAACAGUCGCACACAUAAAUAAAUCUCAUUCGAAUCGGAAAUAUUGCAAGAUCGGCAAGCAUCCGAUCGUGAAAGAUCGCAAAGUCCAAUCGUAAAGUUUAUCAAAUCCAAUCUAAGACUGCAAUCUCAAGAUCUGAAAAUCUAAAAUCAAGAAUCAAACCUGAGAAGAAUCGACGCUGAAGACAAGCGCAGAUCCGACACGAACGCGGGAGAAGCAGAGGUGCUCGCGGGAGGGAUCGUAGUGACUCAGAUGAAUCUGCAACUUCCAGCAAAUCUGCACAUCCAGAAAAAGAAAAAUAAUCGCAAAUCUGCAGAGAAACAAUCACCAAUCGGAAAUCAAAAAUCGCACGGAAUCGCAGAAGAAGACGAUCUCGCAGAGAAAGACGAUCAAUGAAGCUAGAAAACUGAUACCAUCUCAGAAAUGCUUAACAUUGAUUAUCAUUGAAUUGGAAAGAUUAGUUAUUACAACAUAACAAAUAUCCUUUUAUAGGAUUGAGAAUUUACUCAACUAACAGAUUACAUGUUUACCACACUACCCUUGAUGAUUUAACAUUCAAUAGCCAAUACAGUAGCU
rnacentral:lncRNA from 1 species